GCCUCUAGAAAGGGGGUGCACAGCACUGGGGGAGUGCUGAAUGCCACGGAAUUGGCGCUUAAGGAGGAAGAUGGUCUAUCCUUAACUUGUCCUGUCACUAUGUCCAAAAACCCAUUAGUAAGCCUCGAAGGACUCGGGUGUGGCUGUCCUGGGAGGAGAUGCCGAAAGUCUACCAAGCACAGCAGUCCCCGGUGGCUUUGCAUUUAAGGAACAUUGAAGCCGGCCUGGCAGGAUGACGAUAGUGAUUCUCGGAAGGGACAUUUUCGACGCCCCCUGUGGCUGUCAGAGUGUGGAAGCUCGGGAACUGAUGGGUUCCUAGGACUCUCACUCCGGGAGGGGAAAGGGCUGGAGCCACGGCAGCCGGAGGAGGCUGGCGGGCUCUUCCACAGCUGGAGACCACACCUCGGGUCCUGCGCGGCGAUGCUCCUGCCUCAUGUCCCUGCUAUGGCGGCUCAGCUCCUGGCAAAGCGAGCCACAGUGCUGCCCUGUCCCGAACUGUCUGAAGUCUUCCUCGUGGUCCUCGGUGGCCCUUCACCACUGAGCGGCUAGGCCGAGCUCAGUCUCCAGAGGAGCCAGAUAUGGCGGCUUCUCCUCUUUUUACACUUAAUUGAUUUUUAUUUUAUGUGCACCGGUGUUCUGCCUGCAAGAAUGACUAUGUGAGGGUGUCAGAUCCCAUGUGGGUGCUGGGAACUGAACCUGGGUCCUUUGGGAGAACAACCAGCGAGCCAGCGGCUGAGCCGCCUCUCCAGCCCUGAGACCCUGGUUUCUUUUCUUUUCUUUCUUUCUCUUCUUUUUUUCCCUUCCUUUUUUGUUUUUGUUUUGUUUUGUGUGUUUCAACACCAGGUCUCACUAUGUAGGGUGGCUGUCCUGGAAUUCACCGUGUAGACCAGACUGGCCUCCAAGUCCUCUGGGAGCACAGUCAGUGCUCUUAACCACUGAGCUGUCUCUCCAGCUGGAGGCUUGUCUUCUUGUCUCCCGCAGUCUCCUGAUUAAGGUGGCAGUGGAGUCUGCCUGGGGGCUGCUGUGAGGGUCACUGAGGCCAGGCUGGGCCCAGUUACAGCCCAUGCACCUUCAUCGCCAUCUGCCAUGGUCAUAUCGAAAUGACUGCCUCCUUCUUAAAAAGGGGAAAACGGGGCUGGAGAGAUGGCUCAGUGGUUAAGAGCACUGUCUGCUCUUCCAACGGACCCGGGUUCAGCUCCUGGCACUCACAUGGCAGCUCACAACUGUCUGUAACUCCAAUUCCAAGGAAUCUGACACCGUCACACUAAUGCACAUAAAAUUAAAUAAAUUUUAUUUUUUUAAAAAAUGGGGAAAGCCUUUGUGCCACCGCCUGGUAGGUCACCCGUGAGCCAGGGGCCUCGGAGGGAAAGCCACACUCACCCCUAUGGGGCACAGCCCAGCUUCCCUCCUCCUCGCCCUGCCAGCUCAGAGUGAGCACCAGAGUUGCCAGGCUGGGUGACGGGCUCGACACAGACUAAAGCCAUGUGGCAGAAGGUGGUGACUAACUAGUCUUCACGGACAGCCAGGGGCCUCUUUCCUGGGGGUGGGGACAGGAGUGACUGAUCUGGGGAGAGGGUGUGGCUUGGAUGUACUGGACAAACUGAACAAGUCCCUACAUGAUCUGGGAUUCCCCCAGUUAUGAAGGCCUGCUGGGCUGAGCCUUCCUCCAGGCCCGGAUCUCCACCUCCCACAGUGCCUCCCUCCCCUCCCUGUGCUGGCCAGAGAGCUGCAGAGUCCUGCCUGCCCCUCUCUGGUGGCUCUCCCUGCCUGGCCCCUCCCUUGCAGCCCCCCUCCUCAAGGCUCCCCGUCUGGGUUCAAGUGUGCGACUUCAGUCAAUGCCCUCGUCCAGGCGGUGCUGCUGACCAGGCUCACCAGCUGCAGGUGAUGUGUCCAGUGCCAGGGAACCCCUUGGCAUAGUCAGGGCCAAACUGGAGUGCCCAGAAAUAGGUGGAGGAUAGCCACAGCCUCAAGAUGUAAACAAGCCGGGAAGAGAAGACGUGGGUGUCAGACUGUGAAUCCCCAGCCGGUCAGCCCUGCAGAAUGGAAGACAGGCAGAGGCUACAUAGCAGCCAGGGUGUCUGUGCCCAGGGCUAGGAAGCAGGACCCCAUCGGGGUUGUAUCAGGAGACUGGUGAUGACCCCAACCACCACCUGCUCAGGACAACGGACUGUGCUUCCUGGUACACACAUUCCUGAGAACUCCACCGCAUGUACUUUCUGGAGGGCCAAGCAGCAUUGACACUUGCCAGUCUUGCAGCUCAGGAACUCAAGAAGCUUGUUUCUAUGGGCACCCUGAACCCAACACCCCCUGGGAGUGCAACUCCAGAACUUGGUGUGGGAUGUGGAGCUGAUUCAGAGGGUCCACAGCAGCAGACUAUUUGCCUCGUGCGGGCUCUGAGAGGGGCUCUUUGCCAGCUGCAGAUAGUUUAAAGCUGAGGACUCUGGAGAGGGAAUAAAGGCCAGAGCCCAGAGAGUGAGGAGAACAAGGCUGUGCUGCUUCCUCCUGCUGCUCCUGUUGCUGUUGAGAAACAAGAAAUUGGAGAUCUCCUGAAACAAGGACUGGCCUGGCUCCAAGGAACCCGAGGACCCUGACCAGCAGGAAGCAGCUAAGAACUGUGUCCCCCUCUCCCACUAACCCCCUCUCUCUCUUACCUGGUGUUCGGGUGUUGGAAGGGAUUGGGGUGGAGUAGGGAGCAAGAGAUAUAAGAGACAUAAAUAAAAGAGUUUUAAAAAGUAUGCCAGCAGAAAGGGGUGAGUUCUCCCUAGUCUGAGGGGUUUCUGGGCAGGGGGGAGCUGGCUUCAUAGGCUUGGGCAGGUCUGCUGGGCAGAGCCAGUAUGGGACUCUCCAUGGCUGCCCUGAGGUCUGGCUCCAGUGCCCUCAUGCCUAGCUUCCGGCCACAAACCCCUGGGGCUGCUAGGAAUGUAUUUGGUGGCAUAUGGAACAGCCAUGAGCAAAAGUCCACCAUAGACAUACAUAAAGACAUCUGACUGGGCUGGGGAGAUGGCUCAGAGGUUAAGAGCACUGGCUGCUCUUCCAGAGGUCCUGAGUUCAAUUCACACGGUGGUGUCCUCUUCUGUCAUGCAGACAGAACACUGUAUAAAUAAAUAUAUCUUUAAAGGCAGCUGACCAAGCUGUCUACUCAGA